CUGGCCGCGCUCUUCCCGCUUCUUCGCAGUCUUCGGCCCUCUUCUGUCGCCGCCAUGAGCACUGGCACCUUCGUCGUGUCGCAGCCGCUCAAUUACCGCGGCGGGGCCCGCGUGGAGCCGGCGGACGCCUCCGGCACCGAGAAAGCUUUCGAGCCAGCAACCGGUAACUGCACCGAGCCGGGGAGGCUGGGGCGCCCUGGGGCCGGGUGCGCGGAUUUCCCGGCCAGCCCGUGUUUCCUGUGUUCUGCAGGGUUGACUUGAGCACAGACAGUGACAGUGGAGGGUCUAAGGCCGAGUGAUAGCUACUUUCACAUGUUCAGGAGAAAAGGAAGUAAAUUUGGCUGUUCAAAAUGCAAAGGCUGCUUUUAAAAUAUGGAGUCAAAAAUCUGGCAUGGAGCGUUGCCGAAUCCUUUUGGAGGCUGCCAGGAUAAUAAGGGAACGGGAGGGUGAAAUUGCUACUAUGGAGUGUAUCAACAAUGGCAAGUCCAUCUUUGAGGCCCGCUUGGACAUCAACAUUUCCUGGCAGUGCCUGGAGUAUUAUGCGGGCUUGGCUGCAUCCAUGGCUGGUGAACACAUCCAGCUCCCAGGUGGAUCCUUUGGUUAUACCAGAAGAGAACCACUUGGGGUAUGUGUGGGAAUAGGAGCAUGGAACUACCCCUUUCAGAUCGCCUCUUGGAAGUCAGCUCCAGCAUUAGCCUGUGGUAAUGCCAUGGUCUUUAAACCUUCUCCCUUUACACCUGUUUCUGCAUUGCUACUGGCUGAAAUCUACACUGAGGCUGGUGUACCUCCUGGGCUCUUCAAUGUGGUGCAGGGAGGGGCUGCCACAGGCCAGUUUCUGUGUCAGCAUCCCGAUGUGGCCAAAGUCUCCUUCACUGGAAGUGUGCCCACUGGCAUGAAG
rnacentral:sRNA from 1 species